UGGGGGAUAUUGCACAAUGGAGGAAACUCUGAUGCAGCAACGCCGCGUGAGGGAAGAAGGUUUUCGGAUUGUAAACCUCUGUUUUUAGUGAAGAAACAAAUGACGGUAGCUAAAGAGGAAGCCACGGCUAACUACGUGCCAGCAGCCGCGGUAAUACGUAGGUGGCAAGCGUUGUCCGGAUUUACUGGGUGUAAAGGGUGCGCAGGCGGGACUGCAAGUUGGAUGUGAAAUACCGAGGCUCAACCUCGGGGCUGCAUCCAAAACUGUGGUUCUUGAGUGGAGUAGAGGUAAGCGGAAUUCCGAGUGUAGCGGUGAAAUGCGUAGAUAUUCGGAGGAACACCAGUGGCGAAGGCGGCUUACUGGGCUCUAACUGACGCUGAGGCACGAAAGCAUGGGUAGCAAACA
rnacentral:rRNA from 1 species